rnacentral:rRNA from 1 species
AUUGAACGCUGGCGGAAUGCUUUACACAUGCAAGUCGAACGGCAGCACGGACUUCGGUCUGGUGGCGAGUGGCGAACGGGUGAGUAAUGUAUCGGAACGUGCCCAGUCGUGGGGGAUAACGUAGUGAAUAUUACGCUAAUACCGCAUACGAUCUAUGGAUGAAAGCGGGGGAUCGCAAGACCUCGCGCGAUUGGAGCGGCCGAUAUCAGAUUAGGUAGUUGGUGGGGUAAAGGCCCACCAAGCCAACGAUCUGUAGCUGGUCUGAGAGGACGACCAGCCACACUGGAACUGAGACACGGUCCAGACUCCUACGGGAGGCAGCAGUGGGGAAUUUUGGACAAUGGGCGAAAGCCUGAUCCAGCCAUUCCGCGUGCAGGAUAAAGGCCCUCGGGUUGUAAACUGCUUUUGUACAGAACGAAAAGGUUUCUACUAAUACUAGGAGCUCAUGACGGUACUGUAAGAAUAAGCACCGGCUAACUACGUGCCAGCAGCCGCCGUAA